AAUCUCUUAUCGAGGAUCCAUUGGAGGGCAAGUCUGGUGCCAGCAGCCGCGGUAAUUCCAGCUCCAAUAGCGUAUAUUAAAGUUGUUGCAGUUAAAACGCUCGUAGUCGGAYCUCGAAGCRCCCYCACGGGGCCGGYUCUUGCCUUGUYGCCAGUGGGAKUUUGUCUCCUCUUGUCGGGACGCGGUGUGUGGGGACUUUACUGUCUCUGCGCGUUUACCUGCGGGCCGGCCGUUUACUGUGAAGAAAGUAGGGUGUUCAAAGCAGGCCAUUGCCAUGAAUAUGUGAGCAUGGAAUAAUAGAAUAGGACUUGGGCUCUAUUUUGUUGUUUCCAGAGAACAAGUAAUGAUUAAUAGGGACGGUUGGGGGCAUUCGUAUUUCAUUGUCAGAGGUGAAAUUCUUGGAUUGAUGGAAGACGAACAACUGCGAAAGCAUCUGCCAWGGAUGUUUUCAUUGAUCAAGAACGAAAGUUAGGGGAUCGAAGACGAUCAGAUACCGUCGUAC
rnacentral:rRNA from 1 species